UCUGGUGUCAGCCGCCGCGGUAAAACCAGCACCUCAAGUGGUCAGGAUGAUUAUUGGGCCUAAAGCAUCCGUAGCCUGCUUUGUAAGUUUUCGGUUAAAUCCAUACGCUCAACGUAUGGGCUGCCGGGAAUACUGCAAAGCUAGGGAGUGGGAGAGGUAGACGGUACUCGGUAGGAAGGGGUAAAAUCCUUUGAUCUAUUGAUGACCACCUGUGGCGAAGGCGGUCUACCAGAACACGUCCGACGGUGAGGGAUGAAAGCUGGGGGAGCAAACCGGAUUAGAUACCCGGGUAGUCCCAGCUGUAAACUAUGCAAACUCAGUGAUGCAUUGGCUUGAUGCCAAUGCAGUGCUGCAGGGAAGCCGUUAAGUUUGCCGCCUGGAAGUACGUACGCAAGUAUGAAACUUAAAG
rnacentral:rRNA from 2 species